rnacentral:tRNA from 1 species
UCCGGCAUGGUGUAGUGGCUAGCAUUUCCGCCUCUCAUUGAAAGCUUCAUUGCUUCAAACAGGUCGCGGGAGACCGGGGUUCAAUUCCCCGUACCGGAA